GGGGGUAUAGCUCAGUUGGGAGAGCGAAUGGUUCGCAAUCAUUAGGUCAGCGGUUCGAUCCCGCUUACCUCCACCA
rnacentral:tRNA from 1 species